rnacentral:rRNA from 1 species
UACGGGGGGAGCAAGCGUUGUUCGGAUUUACUGGGCGUAAAGGGCGCGUAGGCGGCGCAACAAGUCACUUGUGAAAUCUCCGGGCUUAACCCGGAGCGGCCAAGUGAUACUGUCGUGCUAGAGUGCGGAAGGGGCUACUGGAAUUCUCGGUGUAGCGGUGAAAUGCGUAGAGAUCAUGAGGAAGACCAGUGGCGAAGGCGGGUCUCUGGACAGUUCCUGACACUGAGGCACGAAGGCCAGGGGAGCAAACGGG